rnacentral:rRNA from 1 species
GACGAACGCUGGCGGCGUGCCUAAUACAUGCAAGUAGAACGCUGAAGGAGGAGCUUGCUUCUCUGGAUGAGUUGCGAACGGGUGAGUAACGCGUAGGUAACCUGCCUGGUAGCGGGGGAUAACUAUUGGAAACGAUAGCUAAUACCGCAUAAGAGUAGAUGUCGCAUGACAUUUGCUUAAAAGGUGCAAUUGCAUCACUACCAGAUGGACCUGCGUUGUAUUAGCUAGUUGGUGAGGUAACGGCUCACCAAGGCGACGAUACAUAGCCGACCUGAGAGGGUGAUCGGCCACACUGGGACUGAGACACGGCCCAGACUCCUACGGGAGGCAGCAGUAGGGAAUCUUCGGCAAUGGACGGAAGUCUGACCGAGCAACGCCGCGUGAGUGAAGAAGGUUUUCGGAUCGUAAAGCUCUGUUGUAAGAGAAGAACGAUG